rnacentral:rRNA from 1 species
GACGAACGCUGGCGGCGUGCUUAACACAUGCCAGUCGAACGGAAAGGCCCUGCUUUUGUGGGGUGCUCGAGUGGCGAACGGGUGAGUAACACGUGAGUAACCUGCCCUUGACUUUGGGAUAACUUCAGGAAACUGGGGCUAAUACCGGAUAGGAGCUCCUGCUGCAUGGUGGGGGUUGGAAAGUUUCGGCGGUUGGGGAUGGACUCGCGGCUUAUCAGCUUGUUGGUGGGGUAGUGGCUUACCAAGGCUUUGACGGGUAGCCGGCCUGAGAGGGUGACCGGCCACAUUGGGACUGAGAUACGGCCCAGACUCCUACGGGAGGCAGCAGUGGGGAAUAUUGCACAAUGGGCGGAAGCCUGAUGCAGCAACGCCGGGUGCGGGAUGACGGCCUUCGGGUUGUAAACCGCUUUCGCCUGUGACGAAGCGUGAGUGACGGUAAUGGGUAAAGAAGCACCGGCUAACUACGUG